GAUGAACGCUGGCGGCGUGCCUAAUACAUGCAAGUCGAGCGAACGGACGAGAAGCUUGCUUUUCUGAUGUUAGCGGCGGACGGGUGAGUAACACGUGGAUAACCUACCUAUAAGACUGGGAUAACUUCGGGAAACCGGAGCUAAUACCGGAUAAUAUUUUGAACCGCAUGGUUCAAAAGUGAAAGACGGUCUUGCUGUCACUUAUAGAUGGAUCCGCGCUGCAUUAGCUAGUUGGUAAGGUAACGGCUUACCAAGGCAACGAUGCAUAGCCGACCUGAGAGGGUGAUCGGCCACACUGGAACUGAGACACGGUCCAGACUCCUACGGGAGGCAGCAGUAGGGAAUCUUCCGCAAUGGGCGAAAGCCUGACGGAGCAACGCCGCGUGAGUGAUGAAGGUCUUCGGAUCGUAAAACUCUGUUAUUAGGGAAAAACAUAUGUGUAAGUAACUGUGCACAUCUUGACGGUACCUAAUCAGAAAGCCACGGCUAACUACGUG
rnacentral:rRNA from 1 species